GGCGGCGGCUGCUGCUAGGGAGUCGACUUCUCUCCGGUGGCGACUCCGCUUUUUCUCUCCGGUCGCGGCCUCUUCUCGCUUCCCUCAGGCGACGGCGGCAGCGGCGGGCUCGACCUCGGGCCCCAGAAUGCACCGCGCGGAAAGAGCGGCUCCUCCGGUCGGGGAGAAGAGGAAAGUGUAGGAAAAGGGGCGCGAGGACGGAGAAUGAACGUGCGUGCGUGCAAACGAGGGGUGGUGAGGCCGGGCGGCGGCUGGUGACGCAGCAAAAUGCCCGGGCCUUGCCGCCGCGCGUGCGCAGUCCUUGUUUUUGGGCUCCGGCGCGGCUUUCUAGAGAUAUCUACGGAAAGGGCG
rnacentral:lncRNA from 1 species